rnacentral:lncRNA from 1 species
UUUUUUAAAAAAUUCCAUGGAGCUCAAGCUCUAUUGUGCAUUUUCGCUUGACGUAGAAACUAAUCUCUCCUUUCCAAACUAAAUGAAGUUCUAACUCUUUUUUGUGGGGAAAUGAAGUUCUAGCUUUGUUCUAGACCGAACUUUUUCAACUUUGACUAUGUCCACAAAAUAUAUAUUAAUAUGUACAACAUAAAAUACAUCUAGGACGAAAAUAUGUUCGAUGGUGAAACUCAUAAUGAAACCAAUUUGGUUUUAUAGAUGUUGAUAUAUUCUCCUGUAAACUUGGUCAAUGUUAAUUUGACUUACAACAAUAUUCUAACUUUUUAAAUUAAUUUGAAGCGGAGGAAGUAAGGAGAUUGAUGGUGUUAUUAACAUAAAAAUGAUUCUACUUUUUGCAGGAAAACAGACAAGUUAUUAGAGGGGAGUCGAAAAUUGUGUGUGCAACGACUAGGUGAUAAUUAUGAAGUUAUAGCUCACACUUUUUUAUUGGUCUACAUAGAUAUAUAUGAAGUGUCAUAUUUUCGACAGGGUAAUUGAAGUUCUCGCAUCAGUUAAAGAAGUUGAAGCAUGAUAAUACACCCAUUUCCAACUACAAGUUGCAAAAAUAAGUAAAGGACAGAAAUAUAGCAUUGGAGACUUUAGCCACCCCCACAGUAACAGAAAUGAAUGGCAGAAGGGUCACGGAACCCUACAAUUUUUUGCAGAGGUGCCCGAAAUUCCUGCAACUGAAACAUCCAUAGAACAUUAGGCUACGCAUUGUCACCCAACAAAACAUUCCCAAUGACAGAUGUAAAUAGAUGGUCCAGAAGAACGAUCUCGAUUAACACCGACAAGAAACACCUAGCUACGCCCACAAAAGGAGGGUACAAAAAAGCACAUCAAACAACAGCAAGACCGUAACAUCGACAGAAGUAAAUAAAUGAACAGAAGCUGCUAGCAACAUGACCUAUUUCUUCUUCUACCCUACUAGCUCGGCGACCGACGGCAUCGUCUCCCUGGCUGGUGCCGACGUCCGCGCGCGCUGCCACCGCUCCCCGGACAUCGAGCGCAUCUGAUCUAUCCUUCACACACGGAUUCAAGAUCAAAGAAGCUCAGAAUCGUACGCCUGCAGAACACGACUGAAACAAAGAGAGUAGGAAUGAAGAAGCAACCAAUGUAUACCAGGCUAUAUAUCACCGGCCAAUGACCUGAUCAUCGACCCCGACAUGGCGACAUGCCGUAGAUAGAUGUCACGAGCACAUACAUCUCUCUCUGCCGAGCUCGGAUAGAAGAGGGGAGACCAGGAGGGGA